rnacentral:rRNA from 1 species
GACCCCAUGGAGCUUUAAACCUGACAGCACCCGCUCAUUCUAUACCCCAUUAUUUGCCCGACCCCUGUCUGCUCAGUUUUAGGUUGGGGUGACCACGGAGUAUAAAAUAACCUCCAUGAAGAAGGGGAUAUUUCCCUUAUUAGAGAACUACACUUCCAAGAACUAAUAAAUUAAUUUUCAAUGACCCGAUACCCGAUAAUCGAUCAACGAACCAAGUUACCCUGGGGAUAACAGCGCAAUCCACCCUGAAAGCCCUUAUUAACAGGUGGGUUUACGACCUCGAUGUUGGAUCAGGGUAUCCCAGUGGUGCAGCAGCUACUGAGGGUUCGUUUGUUCAACGAUUAAAACCCU